rnacentral:rRNA from 1 species
UGGCGGCGUGCUUAACACAUGCAAGUCGAACGGAAAGGCCCUUCGGGGUACUCGAGUGGCGAACGGGUGAGUAACACGUGGGUGAUCUGCCCUGCACUCUGGGAUAAGCCUGGGAAACUGGGUCUAAUACCGGAUAGGACCACACACUUCAUGGUGAGUGGUGCAAAGCUUUUGCGGUGUGGGAUGAGCCCGCGGCCUAUCAGCUUGUUGGUGGGGUAAUGGCCCACCAAGGCGACGACGGGUAGCCGGCCUGAGAGGGUGACCGGCCACACUGGGACUGAGAUACGGCCCAGACUCCUACGGGAGGCAGCAGUGGGGAAUAUUGCACAAUGGGCGCAAGCCUGAUGCAGCGACGCCGCGUGAGGGAUGACGGCCUUCGGGUUGUAAACCUCUUUCAGUAGGGACGAAGCGAAAGUGACGGUACCUACAGAAGAAGGACCGGCCAACUACGUGCCAGCAGCCGCGGUAAUACGUAGGGUCCGAGCGUUGUCCGGAAUUACUGGGCGUAAAGAGCUCGUAGGUGGUUUGUCGCGUUGUUCGUGAAAACUCACAGCUUAACUGUGGGCGUGCGGGCGAUACGGGCAGACUAGAGUACUGCAGAGGAGACUGGAAUUCCUGGUGUAGCGGUGGAAUGCGCAGAUAUCAGGAGGAACACCGGUGGCGAAGGCGGGUCUCUGGGCAGUAACUGACGCUGAGGAGCGAAAGCGUGGGUAGCGAACAGGAUUAGAUACCCUGGUAGUCCACGCCGUAAACGGUGGGUACUAGGUGUGGGUUUCCUUCCUUGGGAUCCGUGCCGUAGCUAACGCAUUAAGUACCCCGCCUGGGGAGUACGGUCGCAAGACUAAAACUCAAAGGAAUUGACGGGGGCCCGCACAAGCGGCGGAGCAUGUGGAUUAAUUCGAUGCAACGCGAAGAACCUUACUUGGGUUUGACAUGCACAGGACGUACCUAGAGAUAGGUAUUCCCUUGUGGCCUGUGUGCAGGUGGUGCAUGGCUGUCGUCAGCUCGUGUCGUGAGAUGUUGGGUUAAGUCCCGCAACGAGCGCAACCCUUGUCCUAUGUUGCCAGCGGGUAAUGCCGGGGACUCGUAGGAGACUGCCGGGGUCAACUCGGAGGAAGGUGGGGAUGACGUCAAGUCAUCAUGCCCCUUAUGUCCAGGGCUUCACACAUGCUACAAUGGCCAGUACAGAGGGCUGCGAAGCCGCAAGGUGGAGCGAAUCCCUUAAAGCUGGUCUCAGUUCGGAUUGGGGUCUGCAACUCGACCCCAUGAAGUCGGAGUCGCUAGUAAUCGCAGAUCAGCAACGCUGCGGUGAAUACGUUCCCGGGCCUUGUACACACCGCCCGUCACGUCAUGAAAGUCGGUAACACCCGAAGCCAGUGGCCUAACCUUUUGGAGGGAGCUGUCGAAGGUGGGAUCGGCGAUUGGGACGA